rnacentral:rRNA from 1 species
UAUCGGAUUACUGGGCGUAAGCGCACGCUAGCGGUUUUUAAGUCAGAUGUUGAAGCCCCGAGCUUAACUUGGGAAUUGCAUCUGGAACUGUUUGGCUUGAGCUUGUUGAGGUUGCUGGAAUUCCACGUGUAGCGGUGAAAUGCGUAGAGAUGUGGAGGAAUACCGGUGGCGAAGGCGGCCCCCUGGACAUUAACUGACGCUGAGGUGCGAAAGCGUGGGGAGCAAACAGGAUUAGAAACCC